rfam:Myotis lucifugus cont2.12799, whole genome shotgun sequence.
GGCAGUUCUUGGGCGACGCACCCCGGAAUCGAACUCUCUCAAUGGUUCCGGGUGCGUCACCCGAGAACCACA